CUACGGGUCGCAGCAGUGAGGAAUAUUGCACAAUGGGGGGAACCCUGAUGCAGCAACGCCGCGUGGAGGAUGACGCAUUUCGGUGUGUAAACUCCUUUUAUAUGUCAAGAAAAUGACGGUAGCAUAAGAAUAAGCACCGGCUAACUCCGUGCCAGCAGCCGUGGUAAUACGGAGGGUGCAAGCGUUACUCGGAAUCACUGGGCGUAAAGGACGCGUAGGCGGGUUGGAAAGUCAGGUGUGAAAUCCUACAGCUUAACUGUAGAACUGCACUUGAAACUUCUAAUCUAGAGUAUGGGAGGGGGAGAUGGAAUUAGUGGUGUAGGGGUAAAAUCCGUAGAUAUCACUAGGAAUACCUAAAGCGAAGGCGAUCUCCUGGAACAUUACUGACGCUAAGGCGUGAAAGCGUGGGGAGCAAACAGGAUUAGAUACCCGUGUAGUC
rnacentral:rRNA from 1 species